rnacentral:rRNA from 1 species
AGUGAACGCUGGCGGCAGGCCUAAUACAUGCAAGUCGAACGGCAGCACAGUAAGCUUUCUCUCCUACGGGUGGCGACUGGCGGACGGGUGAGGCAUACAUCGCCUUCUUCUUUUUCUUGGGUGACAACGUAGGAAAACUUACGCUACUACCUCAUACGAUCUACGGGUUAAAUCAAGGGUUCUUCGCACCUUUCCUGUCUGUUUGAGCCGAUGUCGCAUUAGCUAGUUGGCGUGGUAAAGGCCCACCAAGGCAACGAUCCGUAGCUGGUCUGAGAGGAUGAUCAGCCACACUGGAACUGAGACACGGUCCAGACUCCUACGGGAGGCAGCAGUAGGGAAUAUUGGACAAAGGGCGAAAGCCUGACCGAGCAAUGCCGCGUGAGUGAAGAAGGCCUUCGGAUUGUAAAGCCCUUUUGUUAGGAAAGAAAAAAAGCAGGAUAAAACACGGAUGUUCUGACGGUACCAAAAGAAUAAGCAACGGCUAACUUCGUG